UAAGUAAGCUUUGAUCCAGAGAUUUCCGAAUGGGGAAACCCAGCAUGAGUUAUGUCAUGUUAUAGAUAUGUGAAUACAUAGCAUAUCAGAAGGCACACCCGGAGAACUGAAACAUCUUAGUACCCGGAGGAAGAGAAAGAAAAUUCGAUUCCCUUAGUAGCGGCGAGCGAAACGGGAAGAGCCCAAACCAACAAGCUUGCUUGUUGGGGUUGUAGGACACUCUAUACGGAGUUACAAAGGACGACAUUAGACGAAUCAUCUGGAAAGAUGAAUCAAAGAAGGUAAUAAUCCUGUAGUCGAAAAUGUUGUCUCUCUUGAGUGGAUCCUGAGUACGACGGAGCACGUGAAAUUCCGUCGGAAUCUGGGAGGACCAUCUCCUAAGGCUAAAUACUCUCUAGUGACCGAUAGUGAACCAGUACCGUGAGGGAAAGGUGAAAAGCACCCCGGAAGGGGAGUGAAAUAGAACCUGAAACCGUGUGCUUACAAGUAGUCAGAGCCCGUUAAUGGGUGAUGGCGUGCCUUUUGUAGAAUGAACCGGCGAGUUACGAUUUGAUGCAAGGUUAAGCAGUAAAUGUGGAGCCGUAGCGAAAGCGAGUCUGAAUAGGGCGUUUAGUAUUUGGUCGUAGACCCGAAACCAGGUGAUCUACCCUUGGUCAGGUUGAAGUUCAGGUAACACUGAAUGGAGGACCGAACCGACUUACGUUGAAAAGUGAGCGGAUGAACUGAGGGUAGCGGAGAAAUUCCAAUCGAACCUGGAGAUAGCUGGUUCUCUCCGAAAUAGCUUUAGGGCUAGC
rnacentral:rRNA from 1 species